rnacentral:rRNA from 1 species
AAUUUUGGACAAUGGGGGAAACCCUGAUCCAGCCAUCCCGCGUGUAUGAUGAAGGCCUUCGGGUUGUAAAGUACUUUUGGCCGCGAAGAAAAGGUACCUCCUAAUACGAGGUACUGCUGACGGUAUCUGCGGAAUAAGCACCGGCUAACUACGUGCCAGCAACCGCGGUAAUACGUAGGGUUCAACCGUUAAUCGGAAGUACUGGGCGUAAAGCGUGUGUAGGCGGUUCGGAAAGAAAGAUGUGAAAUCCGAGGGCUCAACCUGGGAAAUGCAUUUUUAACUGACGAGCUAGAGUAUGUCAGAGGGGGGUAGAAUUCCACGUGUAGCAGUGAAAUGCGUAGAUAUGUGGAGGAAUACCGAUGGCGAAGGCAGCCCCCUGGGAUAAUACUGACGCUCAGACACGAAAGCGUGGGGAGCAAACAG